AGUGGGAUAGCUGGGUCUAAUGGUGUUUCCAUUCCCAGUUUUCCAAGGAAUCUCCAUACUGCUUUCCAUAGUGGUUGCACCAAUUUGCAGUCCCACCAGCAAU
rnacentral:pre_miRNA from 1 species